UUGGCUUCCUCAACAAAGUUCAUUCUAGCUUGUCAAUGUGAAAUAAUGUAAUGAUUCUUGGCUUUCUCUAUUUGCUUUGUCCCCGACACUUUACUCCGACUGUAGAGUCACCAUCUUCCUCAUCAAUAAUCAAAGGCUAAAAACCCCAUCCUUGCUUAAUUUCUGUUUAAUUUGUUUCUUCUUUCCUUUUUGGGGCCCCAAGAUUUUGGCUUGCUAAAUAAUCAGAAUAAAUUUGGGUAGACAUGGUGGUGACAAGGUGAUUUAUGCAGUUGGGUGAAAAGAUUCAAUAUAUUGAGUUAUCGAUAAGAGCCGAUACAAUGCAGAACAUGGAGGAAAGAAAACAUAGCAGCACCUUUAUGGUGCAUUUUCUGCCAUUAUUUGGUCCAAAAUAAAUGAAAAAUGCCCAAGUGUUAUUCUGUAAAAUUUUGUCUGUACCUGUAGCAUAACUGGGGAGGAAAUGUUGACACAAUUGAUGUUUUGAUCUCAAUUGCACAGUAGACCAAAACUACAGGUAUGUGGAGUACAUAAGUUUUUGUGAUAGUGGAUUGUUUCCAAUAGGAGUAUUAAGUUGAUCAAUACUAUACAAGAUCUACUCUUACUUUUGAAGGAUAACAAAACGUAACGAAAAUAAACCAUUACUUUGUAAUAUGUCUCUACUGGGGGUUAUAACUCAUUUUAGUAAUUGCUGUUUUAUUUUGCAAUUAUUUCUUCAAUUAGGAUAAUGAAAGAAAAUAAAUAUAUGUAACAUAAAAGAGGAAAUCUUCUGGCUGAUUUAGCUCAUCAGGCGAUGAACCUCUUGUGCAAGGGAUGGACAAGGAGAGGUUAUUCGCCAUUGCCAGUCUUUAACAUGUAAUGCUUAUGACAUUAAGCUUAUAGCUAUGACAGCGAGGAGGGGGGGCAAAGAUAGUAGAAUACAUCGAAAAAGAACACUUUCUCACAUAAAUUUUCAAAACCAUUAAUCAAAUAAUAAUGGUGAAAUUGUCUUUUUCUGGAUGUACUAUUUUGUAAAUUUCAUAUCAGGGGUUGUAGCAAUUAUUUGUUCAGCGUUUUCUGGACCUCCAUGUAUUCUUUUAGCUUUUCCAUCUUUUGGUUCCAAUAGAUUACCUCAUUGGAAAUACUUGCACGUAGGAGGACAAAAUGAUGGCUUAAACCACCAAUAUGAUGAGAUAUUACAGCGAUAAGGUUUUAGUUCUUGGUCAGCCUGGAAAGGAGCUGAGUUUGCACUUUGCAGUUGAUGCUAAGAUUUGUUGCCAAUGUUCAUCUCAAAGAAGGGUACAAGGAUUGAUGAAAUGUUCGAGGAUAUAAGGGAAGUCUUGUCCAUUUGCCAAGAUACUUGGAGUAAUCGAAAUAUCUUUGAGGCCAUCAAUUGCAAAUAAUUUUACAAGGCAGCCAUAGUCAAUUUUAUCAUAUGGUUGCUCAUAUUCAAUUUGAUGCGGCAGGAUUUUGGAUGCCAUUUUGCAGUAACCUUGCCAGGCUACUCAUAACUCGAACUGGGCGGGACUUUGUUUUUGCUCCUUGGUCAACUUUUUUAAGUACAUUUUUUCAAUCCCCAAAAUGGUUUGUUGUACCAACAAAAAAUAUUACGGAAUAAAUUACUCUUGUGGGCUUGACUCAAGAUCUUAUUAUAUCAUCAUUUUUUCA